rnacentral:misc_RNA from 1 species
CUAAAAAAAUGAAAAUAAUAAAAUAGAAACAUCAUGCUGCAAUUGAAAAAUUACCGGUAGUCGAAGGAGUUCCUCACAAGUAUAUAGCAUUUUCUCACAAGUAGUUAUAUAUUUAAAACAGUAAAAUAAUGCAUAUAGGAUCACACACCUUCAAAAAAAAAGAAAUUUAGAGUAAGAUAUUUAUAAAAAUUAAUUAAAACAUGAAUUCAAAAUAAAUAAGAGAUAAGACCAAGUGGGCAACAUGAAUAUAUAUAGAGCACAUCUAGAGAAGGAUAGGCAUUAAUGAGAUAAUCAAUGAUCCACUUCAACGAUCCCUGAACAUGCCCUGAUUUCUUCAUUAUAUUCGUAUGCUCUCCAUAUCCUCUUGAGAGUUUUCCAUUCUACAGAUUUGCUGCACCAACUUUCAAAGAGUUUUUCAUGCCAAAAUUUGAUCUAAUGACAUGAUCUACUUUAUACAAGCAAGGAAAGAUUGUCAAGAAUAGCUGCUUCCUGAGUUAUCACAAAAUUAAAAUUGACUAUCAUGCCUAUAGUUUUUCUGUGAUCUAAAUCAAAGAAGCACCGUAACAAUAACAAAAUUUAUAAGCAAACUGCCAAUGUAUCUUAAACGCUUUACCUUGGAACUCACUCCACAGUUAUGCACAACUCAAUAGAGCAGGGAGUAGAAAAAGAAAAGAAAUAAAUUUAUUUUUUAGAUAAAUAUUUAUUAGAAAAAUUUGACGGAUUUUGAAAAUUCUCUACAUCUAGAAGAUGCAAAGAUAAAUUCAAAAGUCACCUCCUUGAGCUCAUCAUGAAAUGUCAUCUAUCAAAGAAAAUUGUUACUAAAAUAAAUCAAGAAACUUCUUGUCCAUUUUAAGUGGCAUAACCCUGUCUACUGUGGUGGCUGUAUUCCUUAGUCAUAGCAAAGGCAUCCAUCAUAUUUUGCUCUUUGUUCACAUGCUCAACGUGUAAAAUAACAUAUAUAAAUAGAAAGAAGGAAUUAAUUACAUGAAGAAGAAAACAAUGAGUUGCAUUAAGAAAAUAUAAAUUAAAAUUAAUAAAAUUUAUUCAUCAAUAAAAUUUUAUAUGGUAGUGAGUGUUGGACAAUGAAAGAGCCGUAUGUGUCUAAGAUAAGCCGUAUGUGUCUAAAAUACCACUUUUUAGACAGUAAUGAUUCCUAUAUAACCAAUUUCAAAAGUACCCUAAGUCACUUCCCUAUGCUAAACCAAAUCAAUUCUAUUGAUCUUAUCAGUAAUAUAAAACCAAUUCUUUUUUCCCAAGGUCUUUGCCUUUAUAUAAGUUAGAUCGCAUAUUCAAGUAAAUUCACUUGUGUAUUUUGGAGCACAUAUAAAUUGCACUAUCUAACAAUUCAAGAUCUGUUUAACAGAAAAUUAAUAAACUUCAAACAGAAAAGACAGGCCAAAUCAAAUUCCAAAAACAAGGAUCAACCCCACCACAGGGCAAACGAAUGCAAGCUAGCAGGAAUAGCAUAAACAUCAUCCACAACUGCAAGUAAUAAAUAAGAAUAAAACAGAAGAUUACCUGGUAAGGAAAUUGGGGUUGGUGGAACAAACGGAGGAGGAGGUGAAAAUGGGGGAGAACCUGGGCAAGGAUGCCCAGUAACUGGCCCACAC